UACGUAGGGUGCAAGCGUUGUCCGGAAUUAUUGGGCGUAAAGAGCUCGUAGGCGGUCUGUCGCGUCGGCUGUGAAAACCCGGGGCUCAACCCCGGGCCUGCAGUCGAUACGGGCAGACUAGAGUGCGGUAGGGGAGACUGGAAUUCCUGGUGUAGCGGUGAAAUGCGCAGAUAUCAGGAGGAACACCGGUGGCGAAGGCGGGUCUCUGGGCCGUAACUGGACGCUGAGGAGCGAAAGCGUGGGGAGCGAACAGG
rnacentral:rRNA from 1 species